rnacentral:rRNA from 1 species
UACGGGGGGGGUAAGCGUUGUUCGGAAUUACUGGGCGUAAAGGGCUCGUAGGCGGCCAACUAAGUCGGACGUGAAAUCCCUCAGCUUAACUGGGGAACUGCGUCCGAUACUGGAUGGCUUGGAUUUGGGAGAGGGAUGCGGAAUUCCAGGUGUAGCGGUGAAAUGCGUAGAUAUCUGGAGGAACACCGGUGGCGAAGGCGGCAUCCUGGACCAACACUGACGCUGAUGAGCGAAAGCCAGGGGAGCAAACGGG